GUCCCCUGGGUCUGCGAUGGAAUGUUCCACCUCUUGCUGUCCCCUGGCUGGGUCUGUGAUGGAAUGUUCCACUUCUGCCCCCCCCUUGAUGCAUGAUGGAAUGUUCCACCUCUGCCCCCCUCACGGGUCUAUCAUGGAUUGACCCAGACACGUGGCAUUCUCAGACAACCUGUUUGCAAUCAUGAAAUUGGGAUGAGCUGAAAGAGAAGGUCUAGCAAGUGUCUGGGAAGGAGGAUCAAACCCUGAAUCUUCCUGAGGAUUCAGCUUUCCACGCCAAAUUCUGCACUGAGUCUUUUUAUAGGAGAAGUGAGCUUCUAACCCACAUCUGUCUUUCCCAGCCACUCCGUGCUAAGCAAGAAGAGGGUCAACAAAGCGUGCAGUUGGGGACGGGACUGACCCUCCGACGCCAGGAUCCUCCGCUGGGACUCAGCGCUGGAAGAGAAGCCCAGCGUGGUGCAGUGCCCUGAGGACCUCAGAUCAGCCAGGAGGCCUGGCGGGCUGUCCUCUGCUGCGGGGGUUUGAACCUCAGAAAGUUGGAAGAGAGCACGAGGAGAGAGAGAGAAGGAGAAGGAGACACAGAAUCCAAAGCA